AACGAACGCUGGCGGCAUGCCUAACACAUGCAAGUCGAACGAGACCUUCGGGUCUAGUGGCGCACGGGUGCGUAACGCGUGGGAACCUGCCCUUAGGUUCGGAAUAACUCCCCGAAAGGGGUGCUAAUACCGGAUAAUGUCUUCGGACCAAAGAUUUAUCGCCUUUGGAUGGGCCCGCGUUGGAUUAGCUAGUUGGUAGGGUAAAAGCCUACCAAGGCGACGAUCCAUAGCUGGUCUGAGAGGAUGAUCAGCCACACUGGGACUGAGACACGGCCCAGACUCCUACGGGAGGCAGCAGUGGGGAAUAAUGGACAAUGGGCGAAAGGCUGAACCAGCAAUGCGCGGGAGGGAUGAAGGCCUUAGGGUUGUAAAGCUCUUUUACCCGGGAUGAUAAUGACAGUACCGGGAGAAUAAGCUCCGGCUAACUCCGUG
rnacentral:rRNA from 1 species